GAACCGCUGUGCCGCUGGCUGCCGGAGGCGCCCGGCUGCCCUCGCACACGGGCCCACCUUUACAUGACUCCGAUCCAGAGCCAUGAAAAAGAAAAUGGUUCCAUCCACCAGGCCGGGACUAUCACAACAGGCAAGUGCCCUGGAGCAAUAAGAUUGUGCACCCAGGAAGGAAGUUGCUACUUGUAAUUGAAGGCAAAAGCAAAGGCAGCUGCCCUACAAAUACACCACUGAACCUUGAUGUGGGGCUGGGAGUCUGUAGGGGAGUAGGAGUCUUAGUGAGCUGGGACUCAGGAUCGCGUGGGCCAGGACUCCUUGCAAACCCUGAUUGUGAACUCACCCGUUCUAGAUAUUAAAUAAUAAUAAUUAGGGGAGAAAAAAAGAGAAUACAGGAGAAGGCGGGAUAAAGGGUCAACAGUUGGAAUGACACGCUCCGCACCGAAAUAAAGCACAGGCAGACCUAGAGAGAGAGCCGGAUUCUCCAUGCGUACACCCAGGGGUACGCACAGACACACGGUGAGACAACCAUGAGCGUGCGCGCGCGCGCGCACACACACACACACACACACACACACACACACACACACACAGAUCAGCCUGCCGUGCCAGGGCAGGGUUUGACUCUGCUUGCCUUUGGAUAAGGAACCAGUUAGAGCAAGUCCAGAUCACCAGUGAAAAUCCAGUUCCCAAACGAGUUUUAUUCACUGCCGCCCAUGGGAGCUCGGAGAAGUUUCACACAACGAAUGAGCCCAGCAGGACCAAGCUAAUGAAAGGAUAUUCCGUUCCCCAGCGCUUCCCGGGUGCUUCCAGCCAGGAGGGGUCUUGCUCACUUAUGCUAGCGAUAAGUGUGGGGCACAUGAGCUAACCAGGGCUGCAGGCUCCCUUCCAUGCCUGUUGGGUCUGGGCACACAAAAGGCAGCGCCGGCUUCCCUGCUCAAGACCCAGAGAGGUCGCUGUUGCUCGUGCAGCCUCAAAGGAAUGUCGGCUCCUGGACACACUGUAAUAAUGAUCGUAACCGAGGCCUUGUGAGCUGGAGGCGAACCGUGGGGGCUUCGCCUAUUUUAAAUCACCUCUGGGUCCCCCCCCCUCACCUCCGGCGAGCUCCGCGGGGGCCAGGGCGCGGGGGCCGGGGAAGCGGCUGGGAGUCUAGGGGGGACCCGGAGCGGGGCCGGAUCCUCAGAGCCCCGAAAGCAAGGCUCCGAUUACCGCGCCCCCCCACCUCCCUCCCCCUGCAAAAUCAGGUCCGAGCAAAGCCCGUGCCUGCGGCCGAUCGCAGCCUCCGGGUGCUUCUGCGUGGCAAGGAGUCAGUUCAGGAAGGUAGCAAGCAUCUCCCUAGCAGGCAUUCAGCAUCUCCCUCCAGCCCCAUAGCGAGGUCCCCGGGCCCCCGGGGGCACCGGGUAGAGCGCACCUGACCUUGAAUGGAGCCCCGGCGAGAUAGGCGAGCCCCCUAAGCCGGCAGCCCGGCUUCCGAGCCAGCUAACCUUGACGAGCUGGCCACCAUGGUCCCCUUGGCUGCGCGGCGCGCUCGCGGGAGAGGCCCGGGCUCCUCCGCGGCAGAAGGACACACAAUGGCUUUGGGACUUGACGCCUACCGAGCGCUCGAGCCUUAGGGUUUCUUCGGGAAGAAGCCACCCCGCACUAGCAUACCUGGUGACGAUUUCAACUGAAGUAAUUAAGGCAGUUUCGUGCUGUAGAGAGAAAGGUGGAGCCCCAACAACAUGAAACUACCUAAACCACACAGCAGUUCUCGGCGCUCUGAGCACUGCGCUCCCCGCAGCCGGCUCUGCAGGCAGGGAUCCCGCUACAAAGAUAAAACCAGAGACGUGACCGCAGCCCCCGCCGCCCCGCACCCGCCGCCGGCACUAGCACACAGUGCUGCUCCAGCCGGGGGGGGGAGGGGGUCUCCUGUGGGUCUGGCUCCUUCCCUCCCCCCUGAGAAGUGCUCCAUGCAAAUGGAAAAGGGAAGAAAGGCCGUGCGCGGUAAUGGUACAUCAUAAAAAGCUAAAGACUCGCCAUAAGCCCGGGUUCAAAGUCUAUUCCCUCCCGGCCCCUUCCCCGCCCCCCUCCCCCAAGGAAGCGUUAGCCGGAGCCCUUAUCCGAGCCCUAGAUUUUGUGUUGCUUUUCUGCAAGAGUCCCUUAGCCCCGCAUGCAGCAGGGAGGCAGAGAGCUGUUCGGAAACAAGCCGUUCACAUGCAGCCAGGUAGAGAGGGGCUGAGCGCUCGAGUGGGCAAACACGGCUAGAAGCUGUUGGAGAAGAAGAGCAAGACCUCCAGCCCCUCAUUUCCAUGUGCUCACCUUUACGAUUUCUCCCGAGCCCUUGGAAAGCUAGAUUUUUUUCCCCCCACAGUCUUCUGCAGUUAAAAGAUCUCAGCCCGGUGAAAGGUGUUUGAUUAAAAAAAAAUCAAUCCCCUACGCUCAAGAAAUAGUCAUUUGCUUCCUCUGUCUGUGCAGCUCCUCACUCAACUGAAACCACUCGUCCAAGACAGCAACAAUCCAGAUAUACUAGCAAGUCAUAAAACUGAACAAAAGCCGACAAACCUUACAGCACCAUUGCUAUAUGGCCCAGACAAAUUACGACCGUCUAGGUAAUAUUUAAAUAGAUUCCUAAAGUAAUUGCAGGGGGGUAAGGCAACUAUGCCUGUUGUAAAAAGUUCUCGAAGACAUAAAGUAGAACCUGAGGAUAAACAGUCACAAAAAGAGGUAAAAUUAAAAGGAUUCAUUCCACGUCUUUUAUUCUUCUAUGAGAACAUAAACAUCGUCUUUUCACGCACAGCAGCAUUACAAUAUUAAUUUAUUCCGAUUUAAGGUAAGAACUAGAUAUAGCUAGAACUAACAUUUAUAAUAACGAUAGAAUGCAUUUGCUUAAAACAGUUUCGGCAUUUUAAUAAUAGACAUUUAUACAUAUCUGUAUUUAUAAUGUUUUCCCCUCUUUUUUUUCUUUGCACCUCCACGUUUGACCCUUUUAAUGCAUGUAGCUUCACAGUAUAAAGGAAAGACGACAUAUUCUCCCUCGCUACCUUCAACUCUGGCUCAGAAAAUCCUUCUGAUGUUCGCCAUAGACACUUCUCGAUGAACUUAGUGAGAAAAAGUGACUAUUUUUUCUCAAGACAGGGCGAAUUGUUGUGUGCUUGUCACGCGUUACCAACGGUAACGUACUUCAUAGACAAAAAUCCACUAAUCCCACAAAUUUAAGCAAAACUACAUUAAGUAAAUAUCUACAACCAGAAAGGGAGAGAGAAAUUUAGAGGUAAGUGUAAUAAUUUAGUCCAGAAGUAACACGAGACCUUUUGUAUCCUUAAAGAGAAGAGAUUUCAUUUUCCUGGCCAAUUUUAAAGCUGUAAUAUUGAUUUUUUUUUUUUUAGAAAAGAAGAUAAAAGGGAGGAAAAGGGAAAAGAAAAGAAAAUCGCUUUUCACCCCAGUCCCCACGAAGCCCUCCGUUUUAAAGCAUGCCUGCGUUUCAUUAUUGUAAACCCUGAUUUUUUUUUUUUUUUUUUUUUUUU